UGCAUUUUAUGGUAAAACCCAGUUUUAUGACGCUGUCGCUUUACUAAAUAAACCGUUAUAUCAGGCAACUCCAACGGGGUGACUGACUGUAAUCCUGACUGUCAAACUCUUCGUCCUCAAGUUUGUUUACAACGUCAAGAUCAGCUGAGCGAGUAACGAGUGCACAGUAGUCUCACACAAACGCCCACUGUCUCAGAUAAGUGGUAAAUAGGACGUUGCCCCGAAAACAUGUUCAAGAGAAUCAUUUAUUUCACAUUUUUUUUAUCAUUAUGGCUUGGAGGAAUUGCUUUUAGGACUGUGUUGAUAUGGGCCUUCUCAACAACACUAAUUACAUAUGGAGUCUUGCCUUUAGUGUAUCAUUUUUGUCCUGCUCUUCAGCGUCACCUUGUGUUCUUAACAUUUGUCAACUACCCUAGAUCCAUAGACUUCAGUAAGCCAGAAAAAGAAGGUUUACCUGGCACAAGAAAUUUUUACCUAGACACAGAGGAGAAUGUGAAAAUUGGAGUGUGGCACAUUCUACCAGAGUCUCUUCUUUCCUCGGUGCCAGUGGAGAAUACUGACAGGGAUGCCUGGUUUGAGAAUUCUCUCUGUGAUCACAGGCCAGUCAUAUUGUAUCUCCAUGGAAAUACAGCUUCAAGAGCAGUUGCUCAUAGAAUAGAGCUGUAUAAUGUGCUCAGAAAAAUGGACUAUCAUGUUGUAGCUUUUGAUUAUAGAGGUUAUGCGGAUUCAACUCCUAUUCCACCAAAUGAGACUGGUGUUGUGCACGAUGCCAAAGUUGUUUAUAGAUAUGUGAAAGAAAGAAUUGGGUCUUCCCCUUUUAUUGUUUGGGGGCAUUCACUUGGAACAGGAGUAUCCACCCAUGCAGUUGGAGAUUUGUGUUUAGAAGGGGACCAUCCUUCUGCUGUUGUGCUCGAAUCCCCAUUCAAUAAUAUCAAAGACGAAAUAAAGUAUCAUCCUUUAUCUUCUAUUUUCCGAAAGAUGCCUAAAUUUGAUUGGCUGUUUUUGGAACCCCUAGCUGCUUCAGGAAUAGAUUUCCGUAGUGAUGAUCAUAUAACCCAUAUCGAUGCUCCUGUCCUAAUUCUGCAUGCUGAAGAUGACCUUGUUGUGCCUUUUGCUUUGGGUCGUAAGCUAUAUGAAACUGCCCUGAAAAAACGUCCAGAUAAUGCCCCACCAGUAAAGUUUGUUGAUUUUUCGUCUUGCCAUGGAUAUGCCCAUAAAUAUAUUUGUCGUGCCCCAGAAUUACCAGAUAUUCUCAAGAACUUUCUCAAGGAAGCUAUAGAAGCCCAAAGAGAAUAGUCGAGUCCUUUUGGGUUUUGGAAUUGAUGCUCAAGUUACCUGUGUGAUUAAUGGUGCAGGAUUUGUAGAUUUCGCAUUUUGAUAUUUUAUUCUCACUGAAGAUUGGAGUGUUUUGUACGCAUUUUUUCAUAGAUUAGUCCUGUUUGUCCUCAGAAGAUUUACACUCUCAUGGGCCGCCAAGGACCAUGGCUCGAUAAGACAGACCAGCCAAUAUCAAAACUUCUCUUAUAUAGUUAGUCUCGGCAAGAAUAAUGCCUGUUGGCACAAUGUUAGGAUUUAAAGGACUCAGAACAAGAGGGCUCUGUCUCCAUUCCAUAGCAACUACGUAUACCUCGGGUUUUCCCUUCACCUAACUCAAACAGAUGUGACAGCAGCACAUAUACGCGGGCACAUUAAACCGAUCGUGUUAGGUACUUUACAAUUUAUUCUUUCUGUUUAUACAUUAUUUAAAUUGACACCGAAAUCCCUUAUUAUUUACACUUUUAGUCAUCUUUAGCAUUUUAUUUAAUUGUUCACCCAACUGUUAUUUCAAUCUUAGAACAUUAGCCUUUUCUUGUAAUAAGAAACCUAAAAAAAUUAGAUGUGUUAUAUUAAACUGCAUUACCAGUUAAUAACUACUUCACUUUAAAACCCUUCCCUCUCCUUUUUUUCUGUGACUCUGGUAGUGCCAUGGUAUGACAACCAGCGCUUCUCAGGUUAACACAAUUCUUUACUUUCAAGGCUAGUCUUAUGUAGUAUUCCACGAAUUUUCUUGUAAGAGAUUUCAGAGUCUCUAAAAUAACAUCCUAUCUUUUAUUUUGUGUAGGUGCUAUCCUCUUCCAUUCGGCAUAGAUCAUAAACCUCGUUUUUAUAUUUUCCCCGAAAGUUAGCCUUCAAUUCUUUGUUCAGCCUGGCCUUCAUUAUCAUACAUGCAUCCUUUACUUCAAGUUUUCUGGUGUACUCAUUUUCUCUAAUGCACUCAUUUUCCAUGAAGCAUUCUAUGAACCUAAGCUGCUUCAUUUUUUUCCUCUGCUUUUUCUAAGGUCUUUUGCAAUCUCUUGCUUAAUUUUCAUCUUUAUUUUCCCUUUCAAUGUUUUUUCUCAUAUUUUCCUAUUCCUUCAAUUUCUAUUUUGUAUUUAUUAUACAGAUGUUUCCCAUACACUGUUCAGCACUGUCCAUAGGGGGCUCUUAGUUGAUCUUCUAUUAUUUCUUUAAUCAUUUCUUGUCCGAGUUUAUUAUGUUAUGGAACAGCAUGAUUUUUUUUAGUUUGAUCUGUAGCUACAGCCUGCAAGCCAUAUGCCAGAUUCUGCCAUAAUUCUCCAAUACAUUGUGCCCUUUGGCUGUUCAUACAUUCCUCAGAGGGUCCUCUGUUGUAUUUUCUCUAUUUCAUUCAAUUCGCUUUCCUUGAUGUUACUUCAUGUUUCAAUAUUUUUUCAUUUUAGUGCCAUAUUUCCCACUUUUUUUAAUAUCCAUGAAUUUUCUAAUUUUUCAAACCAGUUACUCUGGUGGGCUUCUGUUAUUUUUUUUUCAUCUAUUACGUUUUCUGUUGGUGGGGAACAUUAUGUCGUCGUCAUAUACUAUUAAUAUUUGUUAUUAGUGUUACAUUCUUUCUGCUUAUCUCACUCACUCUAUCUGUCACUUUACUACAUAGCUUUGAGUCAUGUAUUGUUCCUUGUCUGGUAGUUUCCGUAAUUUCAAUUGGUUCUGCCUUGCCACUUUCAUUCAUCUUUAGUAAUACCAACACUACAUCUUUCCACCCUAUUACCUUCCCUAUUUCUUUUAUGCAUUCUUUCAGAUCUAAUUUAUCAAAGCAUUUGUAUUAGUCUCCGAACUCAUAUAAAUGCUAACAAGUUGGCUUAUAUUUGAUAAAAUUGGAAGCCAGUGGGUCUUCUGCAAGGUGUGAAGUCAGGAUUAGAUCGCAAGGACAUGCUGUUUUAUCACUUGUCUGACAAAGUAAUAAUUUGCAUUAAUGCAGUAAUAUUAGACAGUUAUAUUUGAAAUUCAUUAGUCAUUGACAUUUUUAAUACUAAAAAAUAAUUGAAGGUUACCAAAAGGGUAAAUUGGGUUAGCUUAAAUUCUUGUUUAUGAAAUAUAGUUAUGAUCGUAGUUCCCAAUUGUGACUGACAUACAAGCCUUGAUGUUUACUAAAGGCCAGUAAUUCCUUUGUAGUAUUAUAUACAUAAUUAAAUUAAAUGCAUUUGAGAUAUAGAAAGUUAGACAGUUAUCCUUAAUGUCGGGGAUCUUUCACAUAGACCUAUUUCCAAAAGGAAUUACUUCACCGGUAGUGACGUCACAGGCUUUGGGGAAAAUUAUUGUCACUUUUUGCUACAGGAUUAUAAAAAGUACCUUCUCUAAUGGUGAGCUUUGUCAACUAAUUUAAAAUAUUAAAGACAAUGUUUUGAUAUAAAUUUGGUACAAUAAUUCCAAUAAUUAAACAUUUAGAUUAUGUACCAAUGAACGUUAGGUCAUGUAGAUAAAAUUGGGUAGAUCCUUUAAUCACUGCUGGGUUGCUAUGUGUAGGACCCACAGAUCCCCUGCCUCCAGCGAAUCACUCAAUCUGCUUUUUGCCUGUGGAAAAGGCUCAUUACUACCUGCCAUGAGCCAGCCCCUGUAGGCAUGAGGAGAAUUUUGUUGGUUGCUGGACAUGCAUGAAAUAUGAAACAUACAUUGGGCAAUAAGUUCAAAUGAUGAAAAACCUCAAUUUAAGCUGUCUGUAUGAGUCAUAGGUUUCAGUAGUAUGAAAGGAAGAGACUACAUUGUUCCAGAAUAACUCCUGCAGUGUUUCUCCAUCCCUCUCCAAGCAAAAUCCACGUUUGGGGUAAGACUCCUGGAACAGCGAAUUCUAGGGACUCCCUAUUUGACUCCUCCAGUGAAGAAGAAGAAGAAGAGUCUUUCCUUGGGAGAGAUAUCACUAAUACCUAACAUGAAGUGCAAAUAACCACUGAAAUUUCCCUCCCGACUGGAAGAUUUUAGGUACAGUCUUCUGCUUAACGUAAGAGAGAUACCGCAGAGGAGUCUUGCCUCUCUCAUGCAGCAAACAGAUAUUGAAGGAGAUCCUGAUAAGGUCCACUAACCCAUCUGAAGUGUCUGUCCCUUCUAGAAGUAAUAGUAAUUUAUCAGGGACUUCUAUCCUGCUUGGCAGUAUUGAUACGACUGCUUUGGCUCAAUCAGUUCAUGCAGGUUUUCCUGUUAUGCAAAUUCUGCCUGAUGGACCUUCAAAAUUCUGGAAGGAAAUCAUAAAGAGUAUCAAGGAUGUCCUUCCUAUCCAUGAUUCACAGAAGAAAUACAGAGGUCUGUCGUGUGUAUGGAACUGAAUAUGAUAUGUAAUAAUUUCUCAUCCUCAUUGAAAUCAGAGACAGUCCACUCACUCUUUUAAGCCCCAUACACACUAUGCAUCAUGAUGCUCACAUUGUUAGAUGGAUGCGUUGAAAAACGACUUUUUCAACAAGAAGCCUCAUCACCAACGUGUCCAUGGGUCAGAGCCAUUUCAUUACUCAGCUCAAUGAUGCACCAUCAUUGAGAGGGGGAGGACGUCCGCUCACCACUACCCGCCGCCAAACCCCUUGAGUGGACAAGGACUAACACAAUACAUUUUAGUGAAUUACUGAAGGAACAUCCAUCUGUUUGGAACAUCAAAUGCAAGUAUUACAAGAUGAGAAACAUCAGGAGUGCAAGCUUGGAAACCAUAAAAUCAGAGUUAUCGAGUUUUGUAAACUGUACAUUGCAGAAUGAAGACAUUACUAAAAAGCUGCACACCCUGAAGACACAAUUCUACAGGGAAAUGUCUGCAAUCAAAGCAUCACAGAAGUCUGGAGCUGGCACGGAAGAUCUCUAUAUUCCGAAAUUAUGGUGUUUUGAUGAGCUGCGUUUCCUGUAAUAAAAAAAUAUUUGUGUACUUUGCACCUAUAUUUGAACCUUACUUUCAAAUUAUCCUCCCUAAGGACAUUAUUUUGAAAUCCUGGUUGAAUGUUGGAGGCUUGCAUACCAUCCUCCAGCUGCAAGGAUGAGCUCCUGGUGAUAUGCUGUCUUGAAAGCUGGUGUCCUGCUUACAAAUGUAUUGUUCAAUUUUUUCCAUCAAUUUAUAAAAUCCAGGGAUUGGCAUUCUUGUGUAAUUUUCAAGUCUGUUGGAUUUUCGACUUAUAGCUCCAAAAAUCUUUCUUUGAAGCUUCCCUUCAGAGGUCGCCAAGAAAGCCAAUGCUUACACCAUAAGGUUCUACGUUUCUUCCUCAAAAGUUUCUUUUUUGCAGCACACAGAGCAACUAUACCCCACAGUAGAGUCUCCUGGCAAAGUAUAUCACCGGCAGACAUCCUGCCAUUGAAAGCUGAACUGCGAGAACCAGUGAGCGGUGUUGCAGUACAGUUUGGCCCCUUUUAAUUUUAUUCAACACCACUACUGCAUCACGUAGCUGAUACAUGAUGGCAUAGUGUAAACCAUGCUUUAGAGCUCCAACUCGUAACAAUAUGAUGACCAGGUCUGGCUAAAACCUCAAAUCAGAAUGAAGUACAGGCACCAAUAAUCCGCCCCAGAGAAUGAUACAGAUGAACGUUGAGGUGACGCUUCAAUGUGUAUCCUUUCACUAGAUGGAAAUACCUCGUAAAUGAAAGGAAAACUGUGAUUGUUAUGAAUUAUUCCCUCGCAACAGAGAUUAUUGGUUUGCCAGAUGGUAUUGGCAGGAUAGCCUAGCCUUUGGCACAGGCUUCAAUCCCAACUCACAGGACUAAUGAAGAUGGCGGCAAGAUUUUAACAAUUUUAUUACAAAAGUAAACGAUCUCAUGUCUACCCUUACAGUCAAAACAAUACAUCCUAUUUACACUUCUAAGAUAACUCACUAUGAUAUAGCUGACCACGUGGUCCUUAAGGGAACACUGGCCUAAUCAGCAAUUACACAAUUAAUAUCAAAUAUAAUGACAGGUGUCGGGGAGCUUGAAGGAAAUACACUUCAGUAGACUUACGGCCUCAGCCAGGUGCAGCUUUUGACUUUUGAUUUGCGGACUCACCUAUCCGCUGAUUUUUCUAUGAACCUUGUAUACCAAUUAUUCAUGGAAAAUUCGCCUAUUCACAGUAUUUUUCACUGAGAAAUAUUAAAAAAUUACUGUAUUUUCAUAUAAUUUUCAUGACUAAAUGUGCUUUUUGUGAUAAGACUUAAAAUACUCAGGUAGAGUUUUUUUUGUCUUUUAACUAUCAAAAUGGGCAGUUCUAAGCAUUUAUAGAGGAGCUUUGAGUAUUUACAGAUUUUAGCUAUUUGCAAGGGGGUCUGGUAAUCAUCCUCACAAAUAUGGGGUCUACUGUAUAGCACAAAAAUAAUUUAAGAAAACAAUGCCCUCCCUGGGAGGCACCAGCCUUCUGUCCUUUUACUGUUAUAACAAUCAAUCAUAUGAAGACAGAUUAUCAGAACUUUGUGGUGACUGGGAUAUGAGCGUUAAUGGCAGAAAUAAAACCAUUUGCCUUUUCCAUCCCAGUAACUAAUAGUUCUACAGAGGAAUGGGCAACACUUGUCCUUCAUUUAAGAGAAAAAGCUCCCAUUGGCUGUGCCUGCCCGGCAAUUUGGGACCCUUAAGAGAAAAAUCUCAAGACGGGACAUCCAUGGCUGAAUUUCAUGCUAAGCUCUACCUCCUCAAUAUUAUAACUUCUGCUACUGUGCUGCAGUAGCCAAAUGACUUAUGCAGACCCUGUGGGGAGUACUCUAUAACUU